rnacentral:rRNA from 1 species
UAGGGAAUCUUCCGCAAUGGACGCAAGUCUGACGGAGCAACGCCGCGUGAGUGAAGAAGGAUUUCGGUUCGUAAAACUCUGUUGUUAGAGAAGAACAGCGCAUAGAGUAACUGUUAUGCGUGUGACGGUAUCUAACCAGAAAGCCACGGCUAACUACGUGCCAGCAGCCGCGGUAAUACGUAGGUGGCAAGCGUUGUCCGGAUUUAUUGGGCGUAAAGCGAGCGCAGGCGGUCAAUUAAGUCUGAUGUGAAAGCCCCCGGCUCAACCGGGGAGGGUCAUUGGAAACUGGUUGACUUGAGUGCAGAAGAGGAGAGUGGAAUUCCAUGUGUAGCGGUGAAAUGCGUAGAUAUAUGGAAGAACACCAGUGGCGAAGGCGACUCUCUGGUCUGUAACUGACGCUGAGGCUCGAAAGCGUGGGUAGCAAACAGG